ACUACAUGAAGCCGGAAUCGCUAGUAAUCGCGGAUCAGAAUGCCGCGGUGAAUACGUUCCCGGGUCUUGUACACACCGCCCGUCACACCAUGGGAGUUGGAAAUGCCCGAAGUCAGUGGCCCAACCGGAAGGGGGGAGCUGCCGAAGGCAGGUUCGAUGACUGGGGUGAAGUCGUAACAAGGUACC
rnacentral:rRNA from 1 species